UACGUAGGGUGCAGGCGUUAAUCGGAAUUACUGGGCGUAAAGCGUGCGCAGGCGGUCUCUUAAGGCAGGUGUGAAAUCCCCGAGCUUAACUUGGGAACUGCGCUUGUAACUGAGAGGCUUGAGUGUGCCAGAGGGGGGGUGGAAUUCCACGUGUAGCAGUGAAAUGCGUAGAGAUGUGGAGGAACACCGAUGGCGGAGGCAGCCCCCCUGGGGUAACACUGACGCUCGAUGCACGAAAGCGUGGGGAGCGAA
rnacentral:rRNA from 1 species